rnacentral:rRNA from 1 species
UACGAAGGGAGCUAGCGUUGCUCGGAAUUACUGGGCGUAAAGCGCACGUAGGCGGCUUUCUAAGUCGGGGGUGAAAUCCUGGAGCUCAACUCCAGAACUGCCUUCGAUACUGGAAAGCUCGAGUCCGGGAGAGGUGAGUGGAACUGCGAGUGUAGAGGUGAAAUUCGUAGAUAUUCGCAAGAACACCAGUGGCGAAGGCGGCUCACUGGCCCGAUACUGACGCUGAGGUGCGAAAGCGUGGGGAGCAAACAGG